GGGGUGUGCUUGGGCGGGAAGUGGGUGGUGAGGGCCGCUCUGGGCUCAGCGUUCCCCACCUGGAAUGCGUCCUGGCUUCGGCUGGCCCGGCCCAACCCUCAGCGGCCGCGGUGCCCAGGCCCACUCCUUCCGCGCCUGGAAACGUGAGACGGGUCACUGAGGACGACGUAGGCAAACUUUGCAGAGCACGUUGCCACCUGUUGGAGUAGCCGCUCCAGCCCCAGUCGAAAUGCACGGCCGAACAAUGGCAGUUCUGAGUGGCUCAGGGGCCCACACUUUCUUUAAAACCGAUGCACUCGUAGUAAUAUUUCUUAUGCCCCACAUCCAGAGGCCUGUGCUCACCACCUCAGCAGUGCCCGGGGAGGUUCGCCAGGCGUGGGCAGGCUCUCCCUUGAAAGCACCUGACCUGGUUCUACCUUGCACUGGGGCUGAAUGGUAAUUAAUUUUUUUAUUUGUGUUUUUGAGAUAAGGUCUCUCUGGCCGACCUGGAACUCCCUAAAACCAUGCUGGUUUACAUACUACCUGGCUCUGCCUCACAAAUGCUGGGGUUAAAGGUGGGCCCCACCGCGCCACACUGUAGCUAAUUUAAAAAAAAAAAAAUUACUGAAGUCAUGAGACCUACAAAUUUCAGGCAGUCCAGAAGGAAAGUGUGUGGAGACAGAGAAAGGUACGAUAGUACGUUAAAAACAGGCAGCUUAAACAGCAGCGGGAAUUACAUGGGAAUCUCUUAUUGUAAUGCAUGAACAGACAGUGCUCUUCAGUCUCAGCCGCCUUCGUCUCUUUUCUGUGGAUGACUCUCCAGGGAGACAGAUCUCACAGCUGAGCUCGCGACUCUUGUCCUAACACAGCCUUCCUAUGUCCUCAUCUUCCAGCCACCAUAUGCUCUUCUCCAUCGUUACCUCCUCCUCACCAAUAAACAUUUUUUUUAGAACUCAAAAA
rnacentral:lncRNA from 1 species